GUAGGAGAAACAUUUCUCAUGCUCACAUUUUGGCAAAGGGAUUGACAUAGACAGAGAGAGAGAGAGAGAGAGAGAGGGGGGGAGCGGGCCGUUGAGCUGGCUGCGGCUGCAGGAAGUCGUUUCCAUACAGUAGCCCAACACAACGGCAACAACUUCAUCAUCAUCAUCGCCAUCGUCAUCGUUAGCUUCAUCAUCGCUUCGCUUCGUUUCGUUUCGCUUCGUUUUGUCGUCGUUCGUUGCGUUCGUGUUUUGGCUGUCGUGUCGUGACGUUUUCGUGUUUUUGUUGCUCGUGUCGCCCGCUGCCUUUGUUGCCUUUGCCUUUGCCUUUGCUGUUGCUGUUGCGAGCAGGGGAGGAUCUUUUUUUUCUGCUGUUUUUUUUUUUUUUUUUUUUUUGCGCUGUGCUUUGCAGUGAGAAUGCGAUCGAAGCUUUGGCUUUAGCUGCCGCCUGCAGUUUGGCAUUCAGCGUCGCAUCGAACGAACCGUCGUCGGCAGCAUUCGUUGCAUUGCAUUCGAUGCGUAUUCGUAUUCGCACUCACAUCUACAAAUUAUUCACUUCUAAUUCAAAUUCCAAUUCGAAAGGAUAUUCGCUGCGUUUUUCUUGUUUUUUUUUUGUAAAUGUUUCAACGUGUUUUUUUCCUGUUUGUUCAUUGUUGUUUUCUUUGUGUUUUAUUUUGUGUUUUUAUUGUUGUUGAUCGCAAGUUGUGCGACAAUUAAAAGUAGUAUUUUGUUUCACCCUUUUCGCGUGAUCCGUAAACACAACUCAGGAAAUUUGUGAAUAUUCACUCCGAUUCACACAUUCAGUAUUCAGUAUUCGAUGUUCGAUGUACAUUCGAUGUACUUAGAUAUGCUCAGACGACCGCCAAACACCUCGGCCUAGCUCAAGGCCAAUUCUAAACAGACUCAGGAACAAAGCACCUCAGAACACCUUCAACAGUGGAAAGCAAAAGUGCUAGUAAACUUUCGCUUUCGAGAUUCUCCUAGCAAAUGCACUCAAAGAGGAUGAGGAAAUAAAGUCAAAUGGUCGUCAACCGACAGGCAGAGAGGGAGAGAGAACGAGAGGAGGGAGAGCACGCACUGUACCGCAAAACUCCAACUCGGAUGAUAGUAUUAAAAGACAGGGAGACGAAACGAGACGAAAGCUAGUCUAGUUUUUUUUUCUUUCUGUGCUGUUUAGUUGGACGACCGAGACCCUGAAUGCAGCCAACAACAGACCGGUAUCUGCUCACACACACACACAUACGCACUCGCAGACAUGCAUACAAAAUGCACAUGCACAAAGAUAGCGACAUCAACUCACACACUAACACACACCAACACACACACACACAUGGACGCAGAGGUGACGUAAUGGCAACUACUCCACUAACACAUUUUUCUACAUUCCUCCAACCGCAUCCGCCAUCCACCAUCCACCAUUCGCUCUCCACACUCCAUCCACAAUCCUCCCAUCCUCCUCCAUUCCACCAAUCCGCCAUUCGUCGUCGCCUGACUAUUCGCCCAACGUCGAGAGACGAGCAAAAACUGAAUGAAAACUGCAGCGAAGCAUGCCUAGCAUAAAGAGGAACGCAAAACUAGGAGACAGCGGAACAGUGAGACAGUGGGACAGUGAGACAGUGGGACAACGGGCCACAGCAGACGACGACGACUCACACACACACACAUGCACACGCAGACAGCGUUGUUGGGGCUCACUCUGCUUCUCUUCUCUUCUCCCUCUCUCACUCUCUCACGCUUUGCUCUGUGUGGAUGCUAGGCAAAUGGCUGCUGUUCCUUCUGGCACUGCGUAGAGGGCACUAGAAAGUGUGGACGCAGCACCAGACGAUAUGCACACACACACACACACAUACACUGAUAUACAGAGAGUGUGAGAGAGACGUAUGUGUGCGAGUGGCCGACAUUCAAGGUUGACGGCGCGCACAACUUGUUUUCUUUCUUGUUGUUGUUGUUGUUGCUGUUAUUGUUAUGGUUUUUUUUCUGUCUAUGCCUCCGUCUCUCCCCCUCUACCCCCUCUCUAUCUGGCUCGCUCCACUGUCUACGCUUGGCGUAGUUUUAGUUACAAGAGGCAAAAGCAAACGCAAAAACAAAAGCAAACGCAAUAUGCACAGCAGCAGAAAGAGCAGAAAGAGGGCAAAGGCGAUUUCCAGGAACACCGAACAAGAAGCAGAAGCACAAGCACAAGCAAACAGAAGAUGUGGGCAACACAAAAAACACAAAAAAAAAUGAACAUAUAACAGUAAAAGUGAAGCCGUCGCAGCAACGGAAACCUUCUUCGUAGGGCUUCUGCGUCGCAGCGCAGUCGCAGCGCA